rnacentral:tRNA from 1 species
GCAGUGAUGAUUCAGUGGUAGAAUUCUCGCCUUCCAUGCAGGAGACCUGGAUUCGAUUCCUGCUCAACGCA